rnacentral:rRNA from 1 species
CGUAAAUUACCCACUCCCGGCACGGGGAGGUAGUGACGAAAAAUAACAAUACGGGACUCUUAUGAGACCCCGUAAUUGGAAUGAGUACACUCUAAAUCCUUUAACGAGGAUCCAUUAGAGGGCAAGUCUGGUGCCAGCAGCUGCGGUAAUACCAGUUCUAAUAGCAUAUAUUAAAGUUGUUGCGGUUAAAAAGCUCGUAGUUGGAUCUCAGUUCCAGACAGGCGGUCCUCCUUACGGUGGUUACUUCCUGGCCUGAACAACCAGUCGGUUUCCCUAGAUGAUCUUCACCGGUUGUCUUGGGUGACCGACACGUUUACUUUGAAAAAAUUAGAGUGCUCAAAGCAGGCGUAUUGCUUGAAUAAUGGUGCAUGGAAUAAUAGAAUAGGACCUCGGUUCUAUUUUGUUGGUUUUCGGAACACGAGGUAAUGAUUAAGAGGGACAGACGGGGGCAUUCGUAUUGCGACGCUAGAGGUGAAAUUCUUGGACCGUCGCAAGACGAACUACUGCGAAAGCAUUUGCCAAGAAUGUUUUCAUUAAUCAAGAACGAAAGUUAGAGGUUCGAAGGCGAUCAGAUACCGCCCUAGUUCUAACCAUAAACUAUGUCGACCAGCGAUCCGCCUGAGUUCCUCAAAUGACUCGGCGGGCAGCUUCCGGGAAACCAAAGUGUUUGGGUUCCGGGGGAAGUAUGGUUGCAAAGCUGAAACUUAAAGGAAUUGACGGAAGGGCACCACCAGGCGUGGAGCUUGCGGCUUAAUUUGACUCAACACGGGACAACUCACCCGCACCGGACACUGGAAGGAUUGACAGAUUAAGAGCUCUUUCUUGAUUCAGUGGGUGGUGGUGCAUGGCCGUUCUUAGUUGGUGAAGUGAUUUGUCUGGUUAAUUCCGAUAACGAGCGAGAUUCUAGCCUACUAAAUAGGCGUCCCGAUCAACUUUGUCGGGCGUUCUUCUUAGAGGGACAAGCGGCUUUUAGCCGCACGAAACAGAGCAAUAGCAGGUCUGGUAUGCCCUUCGAUGUUCGGGGCCGCACGCGUGCUACACUGAAGGAAUCAGCGUGUGUUUUCCCUGUCUGGUAAGACUGGGUAACCCGCUCAACCUCCUUCGUGAUAGGGAUAGGGGCUUGCAAUUAUUCCCCUUGAACGAGGAAUGCCCAGUAAGCACGAGUCAUAAGCUCGUGUUGAUUACGUCCCUGCCCUUUGUGCACACCGCCCGUCGCUAUUACCGAUUGAAUGAUUUAGUGAGGUCUUCGGACUGGCGCUCGGAGCGACUUUUAGCCGUGCCGACGUGCCGGAAAGAUGACCAAACUUGAUCAUUUAGAGGAAGUAAAAGUCGUAACAAGGUUUCCGUAGGUG